UACGUAGGGAGCGAGCGUUGUCCGGAUUUAUUGGGCGUAAAGAGCGCGUAGGCGGCUUGGUAAGCCGGAUGUGAAACCCCCAAGCUCAACUUGGGGCGGCCAUUCGGAACUGCCAUGGCUAGAGUCUGGUAGGGGAACACGGAAUUCCUGGUGUAGCGGUGAAAUGCCUAGAUAUCAGGAGGAACACCAGUGGCGAAGGCGGUGUUCUGGGCCAGUACUGACGCUGAGGCGCGAAAGCGUGGGGAGCGAACAGG
rnacentral:rRNA from 1 species